rnacentral:sRNA from 1 species
CACACGCGGGCAUCGCGGCCUGCCACGGCAGUGGCUCGGUCGCUCCGGUGCUUUUCGCCAUAUCCGCAAUCCGCGGUGCGGCGAGGGGCAAAGCCCGCGGCGGAACAACCGGAAAAAGGAUCUUC